UCCGGGUUAGCUCACUUGGUAAAGUGCUUCACUGAAAAUGAAGAGGUCCCUGGUUCGAUACCAGGUCCGGGAG
rnacentral:tRNA from 2 species